GCCCGUGUGGCGAAAUUGGUAGACGCAAGGGACUUAAAAUCCCUCGGGGGGCGACCUCCGUGCCGGUUCGAGCCCGGCCGCGGGCACCA
rnacentral:tRNA from 1 species